rnacentral:lncRNA from 10 species
GUUGCAGUGAGCCGAGGUCGCGCCAUGGCACUCCAGCCUGGUGACAGAGCGAGACUCUGUCUCAAAAAAAAAAAAAAGCAUGCACAGACUCUGGGGCUAGACAGCCUUGGCGGCAGUUCUGUCUCUUUAAAUCAUUAGCCUCUCUGUGCCUUGGUCUCCUCAUCUGUAAAUGGAGAUGAUAAACAGUACUCUUUCUUUUGGGUCAUGGUGAGGAUCGAAUGAGCUAACAUGUAUAAAAAUGCUUAGAACAGUGCCUGGCACCUAGGAAAUGCUCAGGAAAUGUCAGUUGCAUGAGUCUGUACCAAACAUUGUCAGUGUUCCAGCCAUGCUGGUAAAUGUUUAACAAUGAGCUCUCAAAAAGAAAACCCCGAAUUAUGGCACUUGCCAAUUUCCAUGGUGUAAAUACUCCCACAUGGCUGACAUCAAACUAAAUUAAUGGUUGUCUCCACACAUGUAGCUGGGAAGCAAUGCUCACACCCCAGAGGGAGCUGGCCCCGAACACCCCCCUGUGCCCUCUUGCCUGACCCGGUUUGGACACCAGCUGCCUGGCGGCCAGUGCUGGGGCGUUUUGUCCGGUGCUGCCCUCAGAAGGCACUCUGCCUGAGAGUACGCAAAGCCAGCAGUGCCUGGGAGUUUACAGCCCCCAGGGGGAUCUUGUGGGUACAAAUACUGCAACUGUUGGCUCUGAUUGGCUGGCUCUGGGAUGUGACUUCCUCCCUAGAGGCUGAGCCAAAGGCAUCUUCAGCUGACUUUGCUUGAAGCCUCACCUUGGCUUGGCUUCCUGCCUUUUUUCCUCUCAGUUCCUCUUCCACCUGUCUUUGCAGAUAACUUUCCUGGUAACUUCCUUUCACACGCAACCUUGUCUCAGGGUCUACUUCUAGGGAACCCACGUAAGGCUGCAUCUCUAGAUAUCUUUUUCCCUUAAAUGCCCUGGGGUUUGGGAGAGUUUCCCACUCAAUAAUACUCAGUAAGCUUUCCCAUUAACCCCGCUAUAAGCUUUUCUUGGUUUCCUCUGUGUCUGUGCCCCAAGGUGUGUCUGUCGUGGGGGGAUGAGUCAUGGAGCAAAGUCCUCCCCACUGACUCAGCAAUGCCAUUUCCUGCCCACAACCUUCUAGAACUCUUGCACUUUGACACAAUGGGGACCAGCCCACCCCUGAUUCACCAGCUCAGUUUUCUGUCACAUCCUGUACUUUCCCUGAGGAUUUUUCUGUUCUCCUUCUGACCAGAGUCAACGCCAACCAACCCACAAGCAGCAGAGAACAGAAACGUGGCCAGAUGGUCUCCAAUACGGAUCAAAAACAUAAAGAGGCAAACGUGGAGGGGCGGAAGGUCCUUGGCCCUUUUCUCUUGAAAUUGAGUUCGCUGUGUUGAAAUGUCCAUCGUGUCUGCAUCCCCUUCCUGGUUUUCCCCAAAGAGGCCGUGGCGGGGGAACAGGUGGCGUUCCAUGUGGUGGCAACAUGAAGGGAUCACUCGCCAGCGAGCAUAAUCGCUCUGGAAACAUUCGGAAUACUCAUAUGUUCUGUACUUUUCCCCUGAGUCAAUAAGGUAGAAAUGCAUCAGGAGAAAGUCAAAGGUUUCUGUCAAAAUCCAGACCACAGGGAGAAAAUGACGAGUUGAUGGGGCUCACCCUGUGAUCAAUUUCUCCGUGAACCUGACAGGGAAGUCUUCUUAGAGGGCACCUCAGCGUCUGAAGUUGGCUUUCACAAUGAGCAGAAGGUGAAAAGCUGCCAAACAACAGCCACUUUCAAAAUCCAGUGAAAACAGAACUAAGCCAACAAAGGAAUAACAAGGUCCCAGGUUGCAAAACAAAACAAGUUGGGAAAACUUGUCCAAGAGCUGUACUGAACUCUUGCAUGGGCGCUGACGUACACAAAUCAUCCUCAUCACCUCUGAAACGAGGCAGCUCUAAAUUACUUCUUGAAUUCCAUAUGGUUAAUCUGCAGGCACAGGAACAUGCUUUAGGGUGAAAUUUAGUUGUUGUUGUUUUCACUGGGCUUGCAAUAACAUAUUGUAAAUGACUAAGGCUAGAUGACACUUUCACACCAGUCUUGAAAUCAUCCCAGUGAUCUUGACCCAAUGCCAGAUGAGGAUCUUGGUGCAGAUAAAGCGACUGUGCUUCUUCUUCCUGCAGAAUUAACAUUAACAAUCCUGCACAUUAACAAUCUAGAACUAUGUUAGCCAGGGUAUUUGAGGCAGAAUUCUGAACUGAAAUUGGUCGUCUCCUAGCACAAUGAUUUUUAAAUACAAAACAAGCAAACACACAAAAAGAAAAAAAGAAACAACAAGAAAUUUUAAAAUGUCGUAUCUAUCUUAUGAAAGCCAAAAUGAAAGAUUGGCAACCUUUCCUGAAUAUGGGCAUUGUCCACAUCUAAUCUAGAUGAUGUGGGUCCAGUUUUCUCUUUCUUCAAUCAUCUGAUGUUUUUACAUUCAAAUUGGUAGGAAAAGGAUGCUUUCCAGUUUAAUUUUCUUUAAAAUAAUUUCGCAGAUUUCUGAAUCCAUAUGCAAUUUUUAAGAGCACAGACUUUGGACUCAAAAAUGAGUUUAAAUUCUCAGUCUGCCACUUACAAGAUGAGUAAGGUGAAAAACCCCUUCACCUCUGUAAGCCUCAGGUGAAAAGCCUCCCUCUUCCCAAUGCUACCUGCCAGCUACGCUUCUCGGCAGAUGUUUCUGGACUUCAGUGGCCUCAUUUGCAAGCUGAGAGGGCUGAACAGAUGAACCCUACACUCUUCUGUCUGAAGUUUCUGUGCUCCCAAAUGUCUUCAUUUUAAAGAGGAGGUGGGGAAGAGAUGGAAACUUCUAAACUAAGUGCCUCGCCCAGACAGCUCUCCUCAAAGAAGGGGAGCAACCCCAACCCCUCCCCAGCAGUGAGGGUCCUGAACCCACCCUUGGCCCAUCACCCACCCCCAGCCCACAGCAAGGGUCCAUCCCUGCCUCCCUUAAGAUGGGGAAAUGGGUCUCUUGGGCUGCCAGUAUGUGAGCCUGCUCUCCCCAGAAGGCAUAAUCCCUAGUAGGUGAGAUUGUUGAGAAUAACGCUGGGGGGUCCUCUAGCCCGGAAACCCUGCAAGCUGACAUGGGGCCUUCUCAAUCCCCGUUCCCACCACACAGAGCUGCAUUCCUGGAAAAUGACACGGCGCCAAGAGGUUUUUAAUAGAAAUGACCCUGCUGAUCAUCCCAGCCACCCUGUGAGUACACACAGAGUAUCAGGAAAACCUUGUUUUUCAAAUGAAGACACUGAGGCUGGAAGCCACGCAGUGACUUGUCUGGGCUCUGGCCCAGCAGAGCCUCACAUGCAAAUCUCAGGAUCCUAAACACCAUUUUCAUUGCUUUCUUUCCCCAAAAUGUUUGUGGUCUCUUUUGUGUCAGGUAAAGCACUAGUCACUUUCUACAAAGCCUUGCACGUUUUAUGUUGGAUUAUUCUGCUAUUUUGGCAAAUAAUGUGAAAGUGUUUAAGCACUUUUAUGUCAAACCUAAUUUCCUUUCAACAUCAUGUGAUAAUACCAGAAGUUGGCAGGGGAAAUUUUGUUGUUUUUCUCUUAUUUUUAAGUUAAAUAUUAAUGAUAAAAAAGAACCAUCAAUAAGAGCCCCUUGCAGUCCCUGAGCUCUUCACAUCCUGGUGACUAUUUUUACUGGGAAGAUGCUUUUAUUUCUGACUCUGCAUGGUAACUGGGAUGACAUCAAUUAUUUGUUUGUUACCUCCCAAAUUAUCAAGGAGCCGAUGAUCUAAUGAUGAUGAUCAAUGACACAGGUGAUAGAUGAUGUCACAAUCUGAACACCUGCCGGGUGCCACCCAGCACCUUUCCUGCAUCGCCUCCCAUAUCCUCUGAGGACCCAAGAUCCACUUUAGUAUUUGCCACAUAGUAAAUGCUCAGAAAAUACCAGCGCAGUCACUCUUCUCUGGAGUCCAAUCUUCCCUGAACAGGUGCUCCUGCGCCCAUUUUAUAGGUGAGCAAACCGAGGAUAGAAAGUUUACAUCACUCCCUCAGGAUCCUGCAGCCAGUAUUUAAAUGCGAGGACAUGUUCUUUCUUCUACCUAUUGCUUGUGAAGCUAGGAAGGAGAUGGGGGUGAGGAAGGAGCAGAGCCCGAGGAAGGUGAAAAUACCAGAAGAAAAAUGGAAGGUGGAGGCCGGGCACAGUGGCUCACACCUGUAAUCCCAGCACUUUGGGGGGCUGAGUCGGGUGGAUCGCCUAAGAUCAGGAGUUCAAGACCAGCCUGGCUAACUGGGUGAAACCUUGUCUCUACCAAAAAUACAAAAAUUAGCCAAGUAUGGUAGUGCACACCUGUAAUUCCAGCUACUGGGGAAGCUGAGGCAGAAGAAUUGCUUGAACCUGGUAUGUGGAGACUGCAGUGAGCCAAGAUUGUGCCAUUGCACCCCAGCACUCCAGCCUGGGCAGCAGAGCAAGACCUCAUCUCAAAAAAAAAAAAAAAAAAGAAAGAAAGAAGAAUGGAAAGUGGAGAACAGGUGGUCUUAACAAGUUGUCCAGAGGAGGAGGAAAUGGAUAGCCCCAGGGCCCUCGUCCUUGGCACAUAUGCACAUGAACAGACCAAACCUGCCAGGUGGGCUUGAGGUUGGAAGGAGCCACAGGGCUGUGUCUACACUGUCCAGUAUGGAAGCACCCAACCACCUGCCACCACGGAACACGUGAAAAGUGUCGAGGUGGCUGCCACAUUGCACCACACAGCUGGAGAAGGCUGAGAAGAGGGGGAUGGAGAGACCCUCCCCUCCAAGGGAGAGGUGCAAGGGGGGCCUCUCUGCCCUCCAGGGCUCAGUAUCAAUGGUGGGAGACUGCCUUCAUCCCCCAGAACACACUCCUGGGACAGCUGCAAAUAGGGAACCCCCAAAGCCCAGCAGCUGUGGGAGGUGAAGGGGCAGCUCGGUUACAGACCAGGCUGCAAAGCAUCUGUCUAAAAGGUCAGUGUCCACAAGAAGCACAUCAUCUGACCACCCAGCAGUUUCCCGGCACCAGCUCCAUGUCCAGCCCUGUGUUAGGUCCAGCUGAAUCAGCAACUUACUGGGGAAGUCAUGUCUCUAAGAAAGGAGCCCUCAGGCCUGCAGAGGCUCUGUUAGCCCCACUGCAGACAGCAGAACCCAGAAAACACUGGUGAGAGCAGCGGCCCCGGGAGAGGAUCCUGGAGGACAAUCAUCCUCACACCCUCGUAGAAGGCAGGCAGGUGUACCAGUCAGGGUCCGGGCAGAAAAGAGGACCAGGUGCAGAUCAUUCAUAGGAAGAGACGGCGAGGAAGAGGCCUUAACAAAGGGGAGGGCAGAUUCCAGAACAAACAUGAAACAUGGGGGAAGAGCGAGAAGCUGACUAGGGUCAAAGGGUCAGAGGAGGAGACAAGGCUGCAGAGGGAGCGGUCAGGGCUGUGGUCCCAGAGAAGCAGGGAUCAGGCAGUCAGGAGGUGGCCAGACCAACUGAGGAGCAGGAAACAGAUAAGGAAACCAAAGCUCAGAGAGGUUAAGUAACUGGCCCCACAUCACUCAGCUAGAAGGAAGUAAUAGAGCUGGAAUUUGAACCCAGGCUACAAGUUGGGGGUGUCCGCAUUGAUUUUUGAGUAGGUUUGAGUAGUAGCCUCUCUCUUUCCACCCAGGGGUCUCCUGCGGGGCUUCCCAUUGGCUGACGGGAAGAAGCGUGAGGCAGAGUAACCCUGGCAAUGAACUUGAGGGAUCCACUGAGGGCUUUCUACAAUUCCCACAAGAUGCUGUUGCCCUUCCCCAUCCAAGAGGAUGCCAGAGCCCAUGUGAUGACCUUGUUAUCGUUAAGAGGCUUGAAAAAGCAAAACAAGAUCGUCCUGUCUCUGGAUGCACCUUUGAUGCCUCCAUUCUAUCAGGCAAGCAAGGCCCUGGAAACAUCCUUUCUCUCCAGCAGAGGAGCCUGAUAGGUUGACAGGGAACCCUGGUCUCUGGACUCCCAGGCUUAAUCUGGGCCAACAGAGGAAGGGGUUUCCUGAGAAGUGAGACCCUCCAGAGCCCCUGUGGAAGGCUCCCAGCUUUGGGGGCAUUUUUGGUUUCUUAAUCUGCAUUUAGCUCCACCUCAGAGUGGGGCAUGGGGAACCUGAUUGGGAUUUAGAAGGUGACGAGGCAUUCUUACACUAAUUGUGCCCCUCGGGAUGCAUGGAAUACUAGGAGACACCAUGGCUUUUCACAUUCAGGUGCUCGUGUGAACAUCACCAACUGCCUCUAAACACAGGUAGCAGCAACAUGCAAUCUUUUGAUGGGAAGCAGUUAUUUCUUGAUCACUCGAGGGUUUUGAAGGCAGCCAGGCAGCUCAGGGGAAAAGCAGGUUCUACGAGAAGAGAGACAUGAUAUGCUCAGACAUUUCUGCAUCCUUGUCCUACACACAGUGUGAUCCACAGUGGUAAAGGUGAAGAAACUGAGAUUCACGAGUGUUUCAGAAAACUGCCUAAGAUGUUAGAACUAACAAGUCCUGAAGUUCAAACCCAAGUAUGACUGUCAACAUGAGGUUCUUUCUACAAACAGCAAUUCUGGAAGCUUCCAUUUACAGAGUGUUGCCCACAGAAGGGGCCUGGAAUACUGGUUGUUCAUGGAAUCUUCACUACUGCCCCAUGAAGUAGAGACAACGAUUAAGCCCAUUUUACCAAUGAGGAAAAUGGAAGCACAGAGAGACCUAAUAACCUUCCUAAGAUCACACAGUGAGACAGGACCCACAGUUGUUCUCUUUCCUCACCUCAUCACACUGCAGCCAUGACCAACCAAGAGGGCACAAUCGUCACUUAAGGCAUGAAGAAGCUCUGGUCAUAGGCUUGACUUGCAGGUGAGCCACCGAUCGGGGUUGCUCAAUGUGUCCUGAGCCCAAUUCAAGUCAGAUUGUGAAACCUUUGCUUCAACAGUCCCAGUGAUGGGAAGCUCAAUGGGAAGCGAGUCUCUCAGUCAGCUGCCAAUGAGUCUUUCCUUCCCUGAAUGCACAUAGUGGGUAUCAUAUUAAGAUGUGAGGGUUACAUUCUCUCCCCUUGAAUCUGGGCUGGCCCUGUGAUAUGAUGAGCAGAAUGUAGUAGAGGUGACACUCCAGAACUUCCAAGCCCAAAUCCAAGAUUAGCAGUUUCUCCUUCCUUCCCCUUGGGACACAAUCACAAGAGAAGCCUGGGCCCCAAGGAGAAGCCACAUGGAGGAGAACCAAGGUGUUCCAGUUGACAACUCUAAAAGACCUCCUGCCAACAGCCAGCACCAGCUGCCAGCAGGGGGAAUGAGCUGCUUUAGAUUGCCAGCCAGCAUGGAGACCCCAGGUGACUGCAGCCAGCGACAUCAUGAAGAGCAGCAGAACCAACCAGCUGAGCCCUGUCACCCCACAGAAUCACAAGAAUAACAAAACAGUCGGUGGCUUAAGUCAUUGAUCUCCUAGACAUUUUACUGUGCUGCUACCAAUAACUACCUUGUGAGGCAGCCUGUGUACCUGGAGACUGUUCCACCUUUAGGUGUUUUUUCCAUAAAGCUAAAUCCUCAUUCUUUCAUUUGUCUCCCUGGUUGGAGAUCUCCCUCAGGAACCACAUAGAACACAUGACAGAGAAUUAGAAAUGAAGGGGUAUGAGUUAUUAAAGACCAGCUUGUCCAUAUUGCUAACUAUACAGAUUAGUGAUUGAAGGCCAAACAGAUUCUGUGGCAUUCUCUGACCUCCCAUCCAGGUUGGGUACCCCACUCUGAGCUCCCACAAUCCCCUCUGCUUUUCCCACGAAAGCACUUACCACACCACACUACCUCCUAAUAACGUGGUAACAUCUCUUUCCAGGCAAGAGGCCAUAGGC